rnacentral:lncRNA from 7 species
ACUCUCCUUAGCUGCUCUACCUAAGAGUGAGGAAUGGGAGGCAGAACCAUAGGGGAAGAUUCUUCUGGGCCUUGAUGGAGUUCCAGAGAAGAAAGAAACGUCUUUCCUGGUGAAGGAAAACAUUGGCAGCAUGAAUUAUUGCCAAUACCAACUGUUGAGAAAAAGACAAACAGUGAGGCAGAUUUCAACAAACUAGAGAUUAAAAGCGUGCCUCUGGAUUGUGUUAAUGGCCUCCUGCUGCUUCAGCUUGCUGUGUAGGGAAGGGCUGGAGCUGUGUGGGAAGGGAUGGACUAGUUGUUACCUUUAAUGGCUUUCUUUAUCUAUCACAAGGAUUGAAAGUGUUGUUUUGAAAAUUGGAAGCCGAUGGUCUUACUCAGUCCUCUGUCUUCAGGACCUGCAGUAAAAGAUUUAAAGAUAUUUAACCACUGGAUGAAAUGUGCCUGGGCACCCCGACAGAGACCAGAAAUGCACAAUAAAGAACAAUGCUUCUGUCGUGAAGUUAUUUACAGUGUAUAAACUUGGAGCUCAAUGAGGUAAAUGGGGAAGCUGGAAUUCACAAACAUCACUGCAAAUCCCAUCAACAGUUAAAGACAACAGAAAGACCCUACUGAGUCAUUUGAAACUUCAUAUCUGACAAGGGAGUGGGAAAACCAGCUAAGAGCACCCUGAAGCAACCAGGAUCUCUUGGUCAAGUGCAAGAGCUGGGUUGUAACAACAAAAGGGGCUGCUACGUGGCAACUGAUGAGAAGCAGGAGCGUGUUUGGCUUACAGCAGCACUAAAGUAAACAGGAAAUUGCACACAGAAUCUGACCCUCCCUUCAGCCUGUUUUUUGAAGAAUUAGCAGAUUCUUGUCUCUGAGCAUAAGGCAGUUUUUUCAGCCUUCCAUUCAUCUUGGUGGCUCUUUGCUGCAGGCUCCGUACCCUUUCAAGUCCCCGUGAAAAUCAGGAUACCAGAAUUACUUGCUGGUGUCUAUGUUGACAACUGAGCUAAAUUUAAUUUUCUGCUCCUCUGAUUAUAUACCCAGGAUCUAGGCUGCUGGCACUGCCCCAGGUAACUGCUGCUCCUUGUCUGGUGUCACCUCUCAAGCUGCCAUAAGGGAGUUGUUGUUCCUGAAGAUCCUGUUGCCUACCCCAUGACGAUGGCCUGGCUUUUGUCUUGUUGUGGUUCUUUGAUGUGCAACCUCAUUUGGCUAUGGCAUCACAGCACAUUUUGGCUGUAACCCCACACCCGAUGGAGGGCACACCCAGAACUGCUCAUGGAUUCUCCAGUCUGGAGAUGAGGGUUGAAGCACAGGUUCACUGAGUGAUGGAAGUUGUUCUGCAUCACUGUCCCUUCCUCAUCAUUGUGAACCUCUUCAUCAUUUAUCCGUGUUGCUAGAAAUAAUUUUUAUAUACUUCUCAGCUGAGAAAGUUCAACUCUAAUAUAAAUACCUGCAAAACAAUACUGGAAAUGACCCCUUGGCAAAUAAUUUAAUAGUUUAAGGCAUUUAGUGUGUUGUAUUGGUAGCUCUCACCCAUGUGUCACACAGGACUCCUUUAAGGAGAAUCCAAGCAUAUCUCUUCUUCUGUCAAGCUGCUUUAUCAUGCAAACUGGUAAUCCUGUCAAGAAAGGAAAUCAGAUUUUUUUACAAACAGAUUGAUUUUCCAUAAAGCUAUGUGGAUCAGC